GAAAGCGGCCGGUCUCCGUCAGCUGACGCGCCGCUUCUGCUGCCGACAUCUUACCUCCGAAACGGAGGAGACACGGAGUCCGAGUUUUACGGUCAAUCACUCUGAUAACGUGAUGUCGGGUCCGCGGGAACUGAAGGACGCAGUCGGGGAACAUCGUUGCUGCCCACGGAGGAGCCUUCUAUCCUCCUUCCCUUUAUCCAUCUCUCCUUCCCUGUUGUGUUCAGGGGAUCUUCGGCAGCUCCGACUCCGUGUGUCCAUGCAGACGGUUUUCAUCUCUUGUCAUGGCGAUUUCCUGCGCAUCAUGACAUGAUCAGAAACUCGUCUCUUCAGGUUUUAAACCCGUCGUAUUUCAUGUCUGUUGUAGAGUUGCAGAUGAAAUCAGUCUGACCAGCAGGUGACGCUGCUGCUCAUGAUGAUUAAUAGACGGACCUUUAUCUUUGUAUCUGGUGGUGGCGCCGCUGAGCUGCAGCUCUGUGGUUUUUUUAGGUUUUGAUUUUUGUAGCGUUGGUUGAGAAAAUCAGAACCUAAAGAAAAUACAGCGUUGUGUUUGAGCAGCAGGAAUCCUGAAGACGUUCAUCAACAACCCUCAGACCAGACCAUGAGCUCUGAUUCCAGGAUCGAUCCCGGAUCUUGAACUUCUCAUAGGCUCCCCACUGAGCCUAUAGGGGGUCCAUGUGGCGUUCAUGUGGAGUCCAUUAGUCUUUCAGGACAAACUGUUGAAAACCUUCAGUUUCGGUGCUGCUGUCGUCAGAUCUGGACUAGGACUGGAUCAAACAUAAGGCUGUGGUCUGACUGGGUUAUUUAAUACCAUUUAUCUCCAGGGAUCUCCUUACUAGAAACAUUUAGAGUCCUCAGAAUGUUCAAACAUUUGAAUCUCAGAAACAUUUAGCCAGUCCCACUGUUGGCUUUUAGAAUGAACCAGAACAUUUACUGCUGAUGGUUCUGCAUCAAGUAGUUCUAGGUCGGGCUUUAACAUAGGGGUUUUAGGGUGAAUAUACUGGAAUGUGAGAGGGUUCAGUCAAUCAGAGGAUACCUGAUUGACUGAACCUUUUGGGUUUUAUUGACUGAAAUGUUCAGCUCUGAUACUGUUAGUUGAGUUUUAUUCAUCAAUGAGGUGGGGGAGGUUACAAUAAAGUUUUUCAAAACUUUG